GAUGAACGCUGACAGAAUGCUUAACACAUGCAAGUCAUUGGCGAAGCUGCGCUUGCGCAGUCUAGCCAAGGCGGACGGGUGAGUAACGCGUAAGGAACUUGCCCUGCAGACAGGGAUAACAGACGGAAACGACUGAUAACCCCUGGUAUUGUCAGGCUGGCGCAUGCCGGCCUGAUGAAAGGAGACGCUGCAGGAGAGCCUUGGGUCCUAUUAGCUAGUUGGUGGGGUAACGGCCCACCAAGGCGAUGAUAGGUAGCCGGCCUGAGCGGGGGAACGGCCACAAGGGGACUGAGAUACGGCCCUUACUCCUACGGGAGGCAGCAGUGGGGAAUAUUGGACAAUGGGGGCAACCCUGAUCCAGCAAUUCUGUGUGCACGAAGAAGGUUUUCGGAUUGUAAAGUGCUUUCAGCAGGGAAGAAGAAAGUGACGGUACCUGCAGAAGAAGCGACGGCUAAAUACGUG
rnacentral:rRNA from 1 species